UAUGGCCAGCAACAAGGAGAAUUGUACAGUGGCCGUGGGAACCAGAAGUCAACAACAAGGAGCAAUUCAAAAGACAGGGACAAAAGUGCCAGCUGCAAGGAAGAAAGAAGCUGUCAAGCCUCAGUCGACUAAAAAAAAACAAGGCGAGAUAGUGGAAAAUUCGAACAGCAAAUCGACUAUCCCUGAACACGAGGCUCUGUUGCCAGAAUCGGGGAGCUUGCCAA